rnacentral:lncRNA from 1 species
CGGGGAUGGAUGCUUCACGCAGUAAGCGAGUAAGCGAGCCCUGGAGACCGGGGCCCUGGGUGUGCGGUCGGCUCAGUGCCACGCGGCUAAGUCGCGGAAGCGUAGACACCCGGCUUUUCCCGCGUGCUCUAUCGGGCUCCCCUGGACACGGAGGGUGGAGCAGAAAGAGCAGAGGGGCCGGUGGGAGCCAUGGGGAGUCCGCCUAGCUCCAGAGGACACCUUACCUGGAUCCGCCUUUGUAGCCUCCUCCUGGCUCUGGGGGCUGUCCUGUGGGGUCCGAGUAGCUGAAAGACAGCCCCUCCAUGUGAGGAAGCCCCCAACUGGGGAAAACCCCCUCGUGGACUCAUUCCUGUCCCUGCAUGUGGCCUUCACCUGACUGUCUGCAUUGAGGCAUCCUCUGCCAAGAGCAAUUUCAAAGUGGCAGGGUCCAAUAUGGAACGGCAUAGUUGAUUCUGUCUUUAUUUAAAAUUUUUGGCGGCGCGCGGUGGCUCAAGCCUGUAAUCCCAGCACUUUGGGAGGCCGAGGCGGGUGGAUCACGAGGUCAGGAGAUCGAGACCAUCCUGGCUAACACGGUGAAACGCCGUCUGUACUAAAAGUACAAAAAAAUUAGCCGGACGUGGUGGCGGGAGCCUGUAGUCCCAGCUACUCCGGAGGCUGAGGCAGGAGAAUGGUGUGAACCAAAGUGCUGCUUUCAACAUCUGCCACAUUUGCAAGAAGAGCAAAGGUGGCCCAUUUGAGACCACCCUUGAACUAAACCAUCCAGUGAGCCCCUGAGGUCGGGACAGAAGUGGCCAUGACCUUCCUCAAGCAGGGACUGUGGUGGAGCCCACCUUAUCCAGCACAAGGUGGCCUGCUGACUUCUGGUGACAGUGAUGCCAACUUCCUGGCUGUCCAAGGAGCUGACAAGUACCUGCCGGAAAAACUGCCUCUUUUCCCUCCCGUGCUUGGAGCAGGCAUUGCUGACAGAUCACAGCUGCUGGGCCCAAAGGUCCCUUUGCACGCGGGACUUCAGGAAGUUGCUGCUGACCUAUGGGAGUUGGUGCAGAAAGAUGAAAUUUGUUAUCCUUGGCUGUAUCAACUCUCUCUCCUCUCCUUGGUGGUGAUAGUUUUGUUCUUAAAAGCCUCUUGUGAGAGAAUUUGUGGAUGAAGAACCUGUAAGAUCACAAGUGAAACAAUUUAUUGAUGUCAAUAGAUUUAUACACGUUCAUUAAGAAUCAAAACUAAACUAAAACAUCAGUCUGACUAAAGAGACCACCACAGAUAUUUCAUAUGCUGUACAUCAGUAACAAAGGGUACCAAAUAGUUAAUAUCCAUGUACUAGUCACAUGAGAAAUGUUUUAGGGUCAUUGACCAGUGUAGUCAGUACAGUGGUCCCAUGGUAUUUGUGGGGGAUUGGUUCCAGGAAUCUCUUGGACACCAACUCCGUGGAUGAUCAGACAAUAUAAAAUGUGGGUCAGGUGCGGUGGCUCAUACCUGUAAUCCCAGCAUUUUGCGAGAAUCACUUGAGGCCAGUUCAAGAUCAGCCUGUGCAACAUAGCAAGACUCCACCUCUAAAAAAAAAAAAAAAAAAAAAAAUUAGCCCAGUGCAGCGGUGUGCACCUGUAGUCCCAGCUUCUCAUGAGGUUGAGGUGAAAAGAUCACUUGGGCCCAGGAGUUUGAGGCUGCAGUGAGCUGUGACUGCCACUGCACUCCAGCCUGAGUGACAAAGCAAGUCCCUGUCUCUUAAAAAAUAAAAUAAAAUAAUAGCAUUUGAAUGUAACCUACACACAUCUCCCAUAUACUUUAAAUCAUCUGUAGAUUGCUUAUAAUACCUAAUACACUGUAAAUGCUAUGUAAAUAGUUGUUAUUCUGUGUAGUUUUUAAAAACGUGUAUUUCUUAUUGUAUUUUUUUGUUUGUUUUUUGUUGUUUUUGGAGACAAGGA